UGCUCAGCAAUAGUUCUUUGGGGGCGAG
rnacentral:piRNA from 1 species